rnacentral:rRNA from 1 species
UUAAAGAGUUCUAUAACUCCCAAACCCAUGUGAACAUACCUAACGUUGCCUCGGCAGGUCGCACCUACCUUGUAGCACCCUACCCUGUAGGGCCUACCCGGGAGGUGCGGGUAAGCCUGCCGGCGGCCCACCAAACUCUGUUUGAUAUUGAAUUCUGAACCUAUAACUAAAUAAGUUAAAACUUUCAACAACGGAUCUCUUGGUUCUGGCAUCGAUGAAGAACGCAGCGAAAUGCGAUAAGUAAUGUGAAUUGCAGAAUUCAGUGAAUCAUCGAAUCUUUGAACGCAUAUUGCGCCCAUUAGUAUUCUAGUGGGCAGGACCGUUCGAGCGUCAUUUCAACCCUUAAGCCUUCGUUGCUUAGUGUUGGGAGCCUACGGCAACGUAGCUCCUCAAAGUUAGUGGCGGAGUUGGUUCACACUCUAGACGUAGUAAUUUUUUAUCUCGCCUAUUAGUUGGACUAAUCCCCUGCCGUAAAACCCCCAAUUUAUCAAGGUUGACCUCGAAUCGGUUCAGACAAACUCGCUAAAUUGAAGCAUCUUAGUCAGCGAAGGAAAAGAAACCAACAGGGAUUGCCCUA